UAAUGGCCCACCAAGACGAUGAUCGGUAUCCGGCCUGAGAGGGCGCACGGACACACUGGAACUGAAUUAUUUACAAAAUAUUCCUACGGGAGGCAGCAGUGGGGAAUUUUGCGCAAUGGGGGAAACCCUGACGCAGCAACGCCGCGUGGAGGAUGAAGUACUUCGGUACGUAAACUCCUUUCGAUCGGGACGAUAAUGACGGUACCGAGAGAAGAAGCCCCGGCUAACUUCGUGCCAGCAGCCGCGGUAAUACGAGGGGGGCGAGCGUUGUUCGGAAUUAUUGGGCGUAAAGGGUGCGUAGGCGGUUUGGUAAGUCUCGUGUGAAAUCUAUGGGCUCAACUCAUAGUCUGCACGAGAAACUGCCGGGCUUGAGUGUGGGAGAGGUGAGUGGAAUUUCCGGUGUAGCCGGUGAAAUG
rnacentral:rRNA from 1 species